rnacentral:rRNA from 1 species
UACGUAGGGGGCAAGCGUUGUCCGGAUUUAUUGGGCGUAAAGAGCGUGUAGGCGGCUUGGUAGGUCUCGCGUCAAAACCUGAGGCUCAACCUCAGCUCGCGUGGGAAACCACCUAGCUAGAGUCCGGAAGAGGAGAACGGAAUUCCCAGUGUAGCGGUGAAAUGCGCAGAUAUUGGGAAGAACACCAGUGGCGAAGGCGGUUCUCUGGGACGGUACUGACGCUGAGACGCGAAAGCGUGGGGAGCGAACAGG